rnacentral:lncRNA from 14 species
GGUGAGACGGGUAAAGGGGGGGCGGGGGAGGUGAGCAUACUUCUCCAUGGGACACUUGGAGUUCACAGCCUCCUGUCCGAUCCGGAGGAGCUUGGGGGCCUGCUUUGCCCUGAGGUAGAGACCCUUGAGCUGUUUGGGCACCAGGCUCUGCUUCUCACCCGUACGCCCUUUCUUGGGCGCAACCUUUGAAAGUACAAAGUAUGGCCGAUGGCAUCAGCUCGUCUGUUUUUUCUGCUGAGCUGGGAUGCUGUCUGCUUAUUUGAUGCCCUCUUGUGGCUCAGAUUAUUAGUAUGCUGUUUGCCAUGAAAACCAGGAAAUGCAUUGGCAUCUUCACAGACAGUCUGGGAAGCAGUGUGCGACUCCAGGUCCUAGACAAGAUCAGGUAGGAUCACUGCUGUUGUACUCCACCAGGAAGUCUGAUCUCCGUGUCUCAUUUUUGUCUCCUCUCAGCAACAGUGACAGCCCAUCCACCUGGGUCUUUUUCAUAUCAUACCCUGUGAUAUCCAGAACAGUGAGACCCACAUCAAUAUUUGCAUCAAGCAUCUUGUUUGUCUGA